rnacentral:lncRNA from 2 species
AAGAAGCCAUUUAGAUUUUACAGAAAUGUAGCUCCUCAUACAUUAUAUUGUUCCUAUGAAGAAUUAGAUUGAAUAAAGCUGCUUUGAAUAAAGCUCGUAUUACCAGCUACCACAUGUGAUGGAAAGAAUCCAAGUUAAACACUCUCACCAGAGCAUGCUCCAAGACAGAUGACUGAGCCCCAGGCUUGGCCAAUACAAUGCACUUCUAUUCUCUAUUUAUUUUUGUAGUUCAAAGACCUGGCAGUAACCCACUUGAUGCCUGCCAUAAGGACCAGUACACUCCUGAUUACUGCCCAGCGA